rnacentral:rRNA from 1 species
GAGGGGCAGCGGGGGAGGAAGCUUGCUUUCUCCUGCCGGCGACCGGCGCACGGGUGAGUAACACGUAUGCAACCUGGCCGUCACAGGUGGAUAACCGGAAGAAAUUCCGACUAAUACAGCAUAACACUCCUGAGGGACAUCCUUUGGGAGUCAAAGGAGGCGACUCCGGUGACGGAUGGGCAUGCGGCGCAUUAGGUAGUUGGUAGGGUAACGGCCUACCAAGCCGACGAUGCGUAGGGGUUCUGAGAGGAAGGUCCCCCACAUUGGAACUGAGACACGGUCCAAACUCCUACGGGAGGCAGCAGUGAGGAAUAUUGGUCAAUGGCCGGAAGGCUGAACCAGCCAAGUCGCGUGAGGGAAUAAGGCCCUAUGGGUCGUAAACCUCUUUUGUCAGGGAGCAAAGGCGUCCACGAGUGGACGAAAGGAGAGUACCUGAAGAAAAAGCAUCGGCUAACUCCGUGCCAGCAGCCGCGGUAAUACGGAGGAUGCGAGCGUUAUCCGGAUUUAUUGGGUUUAAAGGGUGCGUAGGCGGAGUGUCAAGUCAGCGGUAAAAUUUCGGGGCUCAACCCCGUCGUGCCGUUGAAACUGACACCCUUGAGUGAGUGAGAAGUAAGCGGAAUGCGUGGUGUAGCGGUGAAAUGCAUAGAUAUCACGCAGAACGCCGAUUGCGAAGGCAGCUUACCGGCGCUCAACUGACGUGGGGGCACGAAAGUGCGGGGUAUCGAACAGGAUUAGAUACCCUGGUAGUCCGCACAGUAAACGAUGAAUGCUAGAUGUCCGGGGCGAAUGAGCUCUGGGUGUCACAGCGAAAGCGUUAAGCAUUCCACCUGGGGAGUACGCCGGCAACGGUGAAACUCAAAGGAAUUGACGGGGGCCCGCACAAGCGGAGGAACAUGUGGUUUAAUUCGAUGAUACGCGAGGAACCUUACCCGGGCUCAAACGCCUCAGGAAUCAUUUGUGAAAGCAGAUGAGUCUUCGGACCUGAGGCGAGGUGCUGCAUAGUUGUCGUCAGCUCGUGCCGUGAGGUGUCGGCUUAAGUGCCAUAACGAGCGCAACCCCCACCGACAGUUGCUAACUGGUUAAGCAGAGGACUCUGUCGGGACUGCCGGCGCAAGCUGUGAGGAAGGCGGGGACGACGUCAAAUCAGCACGGCCCUUACGUCCGGGGCGACACACGUGUUACAAUGGCAGGUACAGCGGGAAGCGACCGAGCGAUCGGCAGCGGAACCCGAAAACCUGUCUCAGUUCGGAUCGGAGUCUGCAACCCGACUCCGUGAAGCUGGAUUCGCUAGUAAUCGCG